rnacentral:sRNA from 1 species
AUGGCGAAACGGUUUGAACACACACGGAAUGGGCCAACUGGGUCUCAACCACUAACCCACUCCCCUCCGACCCCAGCGACAGAGAGGGCUAUCGCCGAGGCACCGCGAAGAGAGGCUUUUCCAGGGGCUGGAGGUGGUGAGCCAGGCCUAUGGAGAGAGAGAGCAUACUGCUCCGAUGCAGACGAGCAGUACAAGAUGGACAGAGUUCAUUUCCCAGGGAUGCUGAACCCUGCACAAGGUGAAAGGUCAGUAGACGCUGAGGUUGGAGACCCUAGGAGACCGCCACGCGGAUCUCGUGGGCUUUCCAGGCCUCUCACACCCAUCCCCAAAGCACCAUUCAUCAAAAAUAUGGGUUCAGGUUCUCUUUGUUCAGACAUUGUCAUGAUCUGUAAGGAUCCUUUGUUCCACGUUAUUCCUUAUAUCAUGCUUCUCUGACAGGGAGAAACAUCCAGAGCAUGCCAGUCUCCUUGUGAAAGAACAGAACAGCAUGAAAAUGGAAAGAGAAGACCUCCAAUAGGAGGUUGCAAAGACCAGGUGGAGAAAAUGGCGCCUCGAAUGGGUUUCCAUAGCAAGAUGUCUUGACUGACUAGAAGGGGCGGGGCAGAGCGGGCACACCUUCACCUAUCUGGAACAAAGAGUCCAAUGUAAGGAAGUGUGGGGCCUGCUUGCAUAAACGAUCGGACACCUUUGCUCCAGUAGAAGCAGUAGGGAAGAAGGGAGAAAAAUGGUUGUGCUUUCUGAGGCGUCCAUGCAGCAUCCGGGUUCUUUUGGCAGGAAGUGAAGAGGAGGAAAUGGAGUAGACGGUGGAAGGUGUGUUUUUUCUCACCCUCUUGGCAGAUGAAGAUGUGAAUCAAGUUUUAGAAAGGGGAAAACCAACAUGGAGGGUGAUUCUGAUAAAGGGAACAAAAGAAGGCUGUGCACAAAGGAGGUUCAGCAGCGGAAGCCCUUAGAGCAGAGACCCAGACACAAUGGAAAAAGGAGACUUAAGUGUUCCACGGGCUUCCUGGAAGCUCCGUGGAAACGUUGUAAAGGGCGGAGAAGUCAAAGACUACCUUCCACCUGGGUUGUAGACACUGGGAAUUACAGAGGAGAGUCAGGGAGGGGCUGGCGCAGAGGUAGAGUCUUUCUUUGAUUUCAGACAUGGCAGAUUUGAAAGGAAGGUGGGCGGGUUGAGGGAGAUCUUUUACAACCAGUCUCUGGCAAGGAAAGGUCUGGAGUUUAGGAGAAGGGUAGAAAGUAAAAAUUCAAAUUGUCCAUCAGCUUUACUAAGGUUUGAAAUGUGUGAGUCAGAUAAAAUUUCUCCAGUGGAAGGAGAUGUAGUCAAGGGGAGAAGAGCUGGAGAGAGCAGAGCAGGCUCCAGAGCCAGAAAUGGGAGCAGCCCUUGUGUGUGCAUCAUGGCUGCGUAGCCCCACACUGGGGACUGGGGUCAGGUGAUGUUUUGCUAUGGUGACUGUCCUAUGCGAGGCAGGAUAUUAUACAGCUUGCCCCCUUAAUAGUAAUUAAUAAUACCAACGUCCUCAGAGUUUAUCCAAAUAACCCUCUGAUACAAAAUUACCGCCAGUUGCAGAAGCUGAGAGUCUUUACAUAGACUUUAAAAAGAAAAAGGGGGGGGGCUUAGUUUAAAGGUAAAUUCCAACUGGGAAAGACAGAGCUCAGUACUCGAUCCUGAUUAUCCCCCUGCCCUGUGUUCUUAUUCUCCUAGAGUGGCUGAGCAGAGACAGUUGGAUGCCCAGAGCUGAGGGCAGAGGCUUUGCUGUACACCAGCAGCAAGUUGGAAAGGGCCCCACAGAGAAGCCAAGCAUCGCAAAAGGGCCUAGGCGCAUAGUCCCGGACCUCUCCGGACAAGUCGGAUCCGCCUAACCAGCUGCGCAAUACCCCGAUGUGAUCCUAGCCGUCCUGCCAACUCAGGUAGCUCAGAAGGGCACCCUUAAAGGUCCCUAUACCUCCACCGAGUGUCCUCCAAGCACUAUUCAUUAUCAAGAAACUCCUAUCUGCGCGGGAAGGUUGGCUUUAGGACGCACGGAAGAGGUGCGCGCGCCCAUUUCACGAUCUCUGGUCUUCUCGUAACUCCAGAGAUGAGGGCGGUGUUAGCUAUGACUACUUGCACGGCGUGGGGGGCACUGGCUCCAGGGUCCCGCGGCCCCAAAUUGGCCAUGCCGGUACCCGAUUUCCAGGCUCCGCGCCGGCUGAAUGCCACGUGCGACUUAGGCUCCUGAGUCCCCAAUCCCAAACGCAUUUUACUUUCUGCGCAUUGCAAUAGUGUAGCUGUGGCGCAGCAGUCUCGGAUCGCCAAAGUUGGCGCGUGCACCUCCAUACCGAGCCCUUUGGGCCACCUAAAGCCAACUUCGUUGCUGAAGACUAACCUCUCUAGGAUGAAGGGAAGGAACGUAGAAAAAACAAAUGACUUACCUUUGCUGUUUAUGUGUGCGACUCCAAACCUGGGGCGCGCUGGGAAUUCAGUGUGGCACACCGAAUUCAGUGUUGGCGCACCAGGUGCCAGCUCCGGGACCUCAGGUUGUCUCCAGCGAGGCUCCAGGAAAGCCUCGCCAUCCAACAAACCCUUGGCCUCCGGAGCGCCCCUGGGUGCCCUGGAGAGAUUUGAAGAACCCUCUCUCCUUUUCGGGGGUGCAUUUGGGGCUGAUUAAUGGACACCGCUCCCUUCCCACUUUGCCUCCCAUCUGUCUUUUUCCUCCCACCCUACUGUCUCAGGGUCCCCAGUUUGGUCAGGGCA